AUUGUAUCCACGAUUGGGGAAUUUUCCGCAAUGGGCGAAAGCCUGACGGAGCAAGACCGCGUGAGGGAAGAAGGCUCUUGGGUCGUAAACCUCUUUUAUCAGGGAAGAAAAAAAUGACGGUACCUGAAGAAUCAGCCUCGGCUGACUCCGUGCCAGCAGCCGCGGUAAUACGGAGGAGGCAAGCGUUAUCCGGAAUUAUUGGGCGUAAAGCGUCCGCAGGUGGCUUAUCAAGUCUGCUGUCAAAGAGUGGGGCUUAACCCAUAAAGGCAGUGGAAACUGAGAAGCUAGAGUGCCGUAGGGGUAGAGGGAAUUCCUGGUGUAGCGGUGAAAUGCGUAGAGAUCAGGAAGAACACCGGUGGCGAAAGCGCUCUGCUGGACCUUAACUGACACUGAGGGACGAAAGCUAGGGGAGCGAAUGGGAUUAGAUACCCCAGUAGUCAAUCGUGGAUACAAU
rnacentral:rRNA from 1 species